rnacentral:rRNA from 1 species
GACGAACGCUGGCGGCGUGCUUAACACAUGCAAGUCGAACGGAGUGGCCAACGGGCGAGUAACACGUGGGUGACCUGCCCUGCACUUCGGGAUAAGCCCGGGUAACUGCGUCUAAUACUGGAUAGUGUGGGAUGGGCCCGCGGCCUAUCAGCUUGUUGGUGGGGUAAUGGCCUAGCACGGCGGGGACGGGUAGCCGGCCUGAGCGGGUGGACGGGCACAAUGGGACUGAGACACGGAGCAGACGGCUACGGGAGGCAGCAGUGGGGAGUAUUGCACAAUGGUCGGGAGCGUGAUGCGGCGGCGUCGCGGGUGGGAUGACGGCCUACGGGUUGGAAACGCCUUUCACCAACGACGCGUUAGAUGGAGAAGAAGCACCGGCUAACUACGUGCCAGCAGCCGCGGUAAUAC